rnacentral:rRNA from 1 species
AUUGAACGCUGGCGGCAGGCCUAACACAUGCAAGUCGAACGAGCGGCGGACGGGUGCGUAAUGUCUGGGAAACUGCCUGUUGGAGGGGGAUAACUACUGGAAACGGUAGCUAAUACCGCAUACCAUCAGAUGUGCCCAGAGGGUAUUAGCUAGUAGGUGGGGUAACGGCCCACCUAGGCGACGAUCCCUAGCUGGUCUGAGAGGAUGACCAGCCACACUGGAACUGAGACACGGCCCAGACUCCGACGGGAGGCAGCAGUGGGGAAUAUUGGACAAUGGGCGAAAGCCUGAGGCAGCAAUGCCGCGUGUGUGAAGAAGGCCUUCGGGUUGUAAAGCACUUUCAGCGGGGAGGCGUUACCUGCAGAAGAAGCACCGGCUAACUCCGUGCCAGCAGCCGCGGUAAUUC